rnacentral:lncRNA from 1 species
ACAUGUGAGGUUUCAUAUAUGAUAAUCGAAUACAUCUAUUUAAAAAUACAUGCACCAUAUAUAUAUUUUUUUGCUUUUAAGUCUACGAAAAAAGUAAAAAGAACAUAUUUUAAUUUAAUAAACAACCUUAUCCAAGACAAAUGUGUUAAGGCUUCGUUAGAAAAUAAUAAAAGAUAUCAAUAUUUUUCAUAUUCAAAUAUGUUAACACGAUAGUUUAAUAAAAGAGUUGUAAAAGCAGAAGUAAAGGUGUGC